GACUCUGCCUUUGCUUGCAGUUCUCUGGCUUGAUUGAGGAGGUUCUCACUUUCAUCUUUAUGGGACUUUGGCUAAAAAAAUAAACUGUCAAAGGAACUGGCAUUUGCUGACUGGACUACAGCACAUCUCGAAGAAUCUGCAGACUGAAACCUUCAAGGCAUUCAUGAAAUGGUCUUCCCUUAGUUCCCCUGCCUUUUCCACUCUUUCUGCCAUUUGGAUUUCACACUGGAAGUUCAAGAGAUGACAUCAGAAAACAGAAAAGCCAGUGGGAAAGGCAAGGAGAUUUGGAAGAGUGUUUGAAAAUUUUGGCAAUCAAGAAUAAGAAGGUCAGUAAAUUUCAGUGCAGGACCACAUAAGUCUAAAAUACUGUGACUGACUACUUCCUAAAAAUCACCUUGUAACACAGGCUCUCUUGGUUUUUAAUACAACCACAGACCUACGAUUUUGCUUAAAGAUCGUGCAACUGUGUAGACGGAUGUUCCUGCAAACCCAAAGCAGGAAGCCAAGUCACCAGGCAGAACUGAUAGCAUGGGAAGUGGGUUCCCACCAGUCGCAUGCAGCUGCUCUGGUAUGGCCAUGGUGCUGGGGAUGAGUCAGAAAUCUCAGUCUUUUCUGGCUUAAAGAAAAGGAAGAAUGGAACCCAUCUUCUCCAGAUAUGUUGUUAUGGGGUAGGUGUAGGUCUAGAGACAGAAAAGAAUCACAUUUGAACAUCCUCUUAAUGCAAGAACAUUUUUAAAGAAACAAUUUUCCCUGAAUAUCCAUCAAGCCUAAUACAGUGUGACUAUCUGAGAUCAAUUAUUCUUAUCUUUACAAAGACUGGGAGUUAUACAGCAAAAGCAAUACUGUAAAAUAUGUGU
rnacentral:lncRNA from 10 species